GCGCCCAUAGCUCAGUUGGUUAGAGUACUGGUCUUCGGUUUCACGUCUUCGUCAUUCUGUAAAAAGACGACGUUGCGUCCGGUCUACCAGGGGUCUUCAGUUCGAGUCUGGAUGGGCGCU